CGGCCCGGACCCGGACCCAGGCCCAGGCUGAGCGGGCCCAGACCGUACCUGGACCCGGGUCUGGAACCAGCCUGGACCGAGCGGACCCAGCCCAGACCUGGACCCGGGCGAGCGGCUCCAGGCAGCGCGUCAUCCCUGUUGGGGCCCCGCCGAAAAUGUUCGAAUUGGGCCCCGCACUUCCUAAAGCCGGCCCUGACUGUACGAAGAACAACCCAAGAGAGAAGUAUGUGCAAAAGCAUCUUACUCCACGGCACCUCAUCUCACUUCCAUGUGGCACAACUUCCCCUGAACUUCACCCUGGUGGGGAAUACACAUCUCCAACACCCCCAGAAAGUAACCGGAGAAUGGGAAACAUUGCAGCCAUGGCUAUCUGGGGGGUCUGGUAAGUCGGCCAGAGUGGUGGAGGUACAGAACGUCACAGCAUGAAAAUGUUAUGUUUCUUCGGGCAGAAUUAGACCCUCGCUAGCUGAGCACCAUCUUUCGGAAACUGGCCAUCGGCGGGCGCCCCCCUCUGGCCUGGCGGCCA